rnacentral:rRNA from 1 species
CCUAUCGGGAGGCAGCAGUGGGGAAUAUUGGACAAUGGGCGAAAGCCUGAUCCAGCCAUGCCGCGUGUGUGAAGAAGGUCUUCGGAUUGUAAAGCACUUUAAGUUGGGAGGAAGGGCUGUAAGUUAAUACCUUGCAGUUUUGACGUUACCGACAGAAUAAGCACCGGCUAACUUCGUGCCAGCAGCCGCGGUAAUAAU